GCUCAGAUUGAACGCUGGCGGCAGGCCUAACACAUGCAAGUCGAGCGGUAGCACAGAGAGCUUGCUCUCGGGUGACGAGCGGCGGACGGGUGAGUAAUGUCUGGGAAACUGCCUGAUGGAGGGGGAUAACUACUGGAAACGGUAGCUAAUACCGCAUAAUGUCGCAAGACCAAAGUGGGGGACCUUCGGGCCUCAUGCCAUCAGAUGUGCCCAGAUGGGAUUAGCUAGUAGGUGGGGUAACGGCUCACCUAGGCGACGAUCCCUAGCUGGUCUGAGAGGAUGACCAGCCACACUGGAACUGAGACACGGUCCAGACUCCUACGGGAGGCAGCAGUGGGGAAUAUUGCACAAUGGGCGCAAGCCUGAUGCAGCCAUGCCGCGUGUGUGAAGAAGGCCUUCGGGUUGUAAAGCACUUUCAGCGGGGAGGAAGGCGGUGAGGUUAAUAACCUCACCGAUUGACGUUACCCGCAGAAGAAGCACCGGCUAACUCCGUGCCAGCAGCCGCGGUAAUACGGAGGGUGCAAGCGUUAAUCGGAAUUACUGGGCGUAAAGCGCACGCAGGCGGUCUGUCAAGUCGGAUGUGAAAUCCCCGGGCUCAACCUGGGAACUGCAUUCGAAACUGGCAGGCUAGAGUCUUGUAGAGGGGGGUAGAAUUCCAGGUGUAGCGGUGAAAUGCGUAGAGAUCUGGAGGAAUACCGGUGGCGAAGGCGGCCCCCUGGACAAAGACUGACGCUCAGGUGCGAAAGCGUGGGGAGCAAACAGGAUUAGAUACCCUGGUAGUCCACGCCGUAAACGAUGUCGAUUGGAGGUUGUGCCCUUGAGGCGUGGCUUCCGGAGCUAACGCGUUAAAUCGACCGCCUGGGGAGUACGGCCGCAAGGUUAAAACUCAAAUGAAUUGACGGGGGCCCGCACAAGCGGUGGAGCAUGUGGUUUAAUUCGAUGCAACGCGAAGAACCUUACCUGGUCUUGACAUCCACAGAACUUUCCAGAGAUGGAUUGGUGCCUUCGGGAACUGUGAGACAGGUGCUGCAUGGCUGUCGUCAGCUCGUGUUGUGAAAUGUUGGGUUAAGUCCCGCAACGAGCGCAACCCUUAUCCUUUGUUGCCAGCGGUCCGGCCGGGAACUCAAAGGAGACUGCCAGUGAUAAACUGGAGGAAGGUGGGGAUGACGUCAAGUCAUCAUGGCCCUUACGACCAGGGCUACACACGUGCUACAAUGGCAUAUACAAAGAGAAGCGACCUCGCGAGAGCAAGCGGACCUCAUAAAGUAUGUCGUAGUCCGGAUUGGAGUCUGCAACUCGACUCCAUGAAGUCGGAAUCGCUAGUAAUCGUAGAUCAGAAUGCUACGGUGAAUACGUUCCCGGGCCUUGUACACACCGCCCGUCACACCAUGGGAGUGGGUUGCAAAAGAAGUAGGUAGCUUAACCUUCGGGAGGGCGCUUACCACUUUGUGAUUCAUGACUGGGGUGAAGUC
rnacentral:rRNA from 1 species